rnacentral:rRNA from 1 species
UGCUUUUGUAGCAAUACGAAGGUAUCCUAGUGGCGAACGGGUGAGUAACGCGUUGGUGACCUACCCCAAAGUGUGGGAUAACAGUUCGAAAGGACUGCUAAUACCGCAUGUGGUUAUCGGAUUUAGAAACUGAUAACUAAAGGAGCAAUUCGCUUUGGGAGGGACCUGCGUCCCAUCAGCUAGUUGGUGAGGUAAUGGCUCACCAAGGCUACGACGGGUAGGGGACCUGAGAGGGUGACCCCCCACAAUGGAACUGAAACACGGUCCAUACACCUACGGGUGGCAGCAGUAGGGAAUAUUGCACAAUGGGCGAAAGCCUGAUGCAGCAACGCCGCGUGUGCGAUGAAGGCCCUCGGGUCGUAAAGCACUUUUCUGAGGGAUGAGCAAGGACAGUACCUCACGAAUAAGUCUCGGCUAACUACGUGCCAGCCGCCGCGG